rnacentral:rRNA from 1 species
UACAGAGGUCUCAAGCGUUGUUCGGAUUCAUUGGGCGUAAAGGGUGUGUAGGCGGCCCGAUAAGUCCGCUGUGAAAGUCCAGGGCUCAACCCUGGGAUGCCGGUGGAUACUGUCGGGCUCGAGUCCGGAAGAGGAGUGUGGAAUUCCUGGUGUAGCGGUGAAAUGCGCAGAUAUCAGGAGGAACACCAAUGGCGAAGGCAGCACUCUGGGACGUGACUGACGCUGAGACGCGAAAGCGUGGGGAGCAAACAGG